rnacentral:rRNA from 1 species
GACGAACGCUGGCGGCGUGCUUAACACAUGCAAGUCGUACGGUAAGGCCCUUUCGGGGGUACACGAGUGGCGAACGGGUGAGUAACACGCGAGUAACCUGCCCACAACUUUGGGAUAACGCUAGGAAACUGGUGCUAAUACUGGAUAUGUGCUCCUGCUGCAUGGUGGGGGUUGGAAAGCUCCGGCGGUUGUGGAUGGACUCGCGGCCUAUCAGCUUGUUGGUGGGGUAGUGGCCUACCAAGGCGGCGACGGGUAGCCGGCCUGAGAGGGUGACCGGCCACAUUGGGACUGAGAUACGGCCCAGACUCCUACGGGAGGCAGCAGUGGGGAAUAUUGCACAAUGGGCGCAAGCCUGAUGCAGCAACGCCGCGUGCGGGAUGACGGCCUUCGGGUUGUAAACCGCUUUCAGCAGGGACGAAGCUUUUUGUGACGGUACCGGCAGAAGAAGCACCGGCUAACUACGU